rnacentral:ncRNA from 1 species
AAUUUUGAGAGUUUGAUCCUGGCUCAGGAUAAACGUUGGCGGCGUGCCUUAGGCAUGCAAAUCAAGGGGGGGACGUACCGCAAGGUGCAUCCCAACCGGUGGACGGGUGAGUAAUGCGCGGGAAUGUACCCAAAAGUGGGAUAUAGCUUGCCGAAAGGUGAGGUAAUCUCCCAUGUGAUCGCAAGAUUAAAGCCGCAA